UUUAUUGAAUCCUUACUGUGUCUAAGCAUGAAAGACAUUUUAUCUCAUUUAAUUCUCAUAAGUAACCUGUGAGAUAGAUACUCUCAUCAUCUGCAUAUUACAGGUGAGAAAACUGAGGCUCAGAAAAGUGAAGUAAUUUGUCCCAUAUUCCCAAACUAGCUAGUGUCAAAGCCUGACUUUAUGACACUGGAUGUUUUGAGCUCAGAGCACUUUUUUUUUUUCUUGGACAUUUUGAGCUUAGAGCACAUCCUCUUUUAUGUUAUAUUCCUGUGCUUGUGUGUAUUAUCUCAUUUAAAACGCACAAUCCUAUGUGGCCUGUAUAUUAUUCCCAUUCAGUAUGUGAGGAAACUAAGUCACAGAGAGAAUAAAUAACUUUCUCAAGGUCACCAAGUAAGUAAACUGGAGUCAGGUUCAAACUCAGGCAGCCUGACUCCAGGGCGCGUCAACCACAAUGCUAAUGGAAUUAUUCUAAAAUGAUUUUAAAAACAAUCAUUCAUUUUCAAAAUCAUGGUAUCGGAAUGCCUGAAAAAAGACUUGCUAUGGCACAGAGAACAUUGUAAUGGGGUAACCCGCCAGGCUAGGAAUGACCCAGGUAUGACCACUGGUCAUGGCACAAGGCCCUUUCUGAGCAAUAUAGGGAGGGCGGAGCCUGCCAUGAUGGAAACCACAGUAACAUCAUGGAGGUGGCGCUGGUAAAAAAAAACCAGCUCUGCCCGAUGUGCAUCGAUUACAAGACCUGGUGGCGAACAUAUGUUUUACAGCCCUAAAUUGCACUCGUGCAAAUAUUUAUCAUCCAUCCCCUGCCAAAUCCGCAUAAUGGAAAAACAAACCAAAGGAAAACCUCCAGAGGAUGUGAAGGCUAUAUCAAGUCUCUUGCCAAUUGUUGUGCUCUUUGGGCUUAAUAUAUCUAAAUCUUAGUAAUUCCAGGAUUUCCAGUAAUCUGGAAUAUCGGCUACCCUGUCCUGAAAGCCCUCCUCCAGCAGUGGGCCGCCCAACUUGAGUUCGCUCAAUUUCCCCUUUCACCUGCAGGUGGCAGCACGAGUGCCGAUCGCUGUCGGGCGAGGGCGCUCAGGGGUGGGAGCCGAAGAGAGUAAUUUAGGGAUAGAGGUGAGAACGGAGUUAGACACAGAAAUAAGAUCACAUGAACUCCGACUUCGGAUGGAACACGUCAUCCAUUUAAACCCUCGAGCCGAGCUCAACUGGAAACUCCACCUAAGCUGGAAGAGACUUGAGCUUGCAAGUGAAAUAAGCCAGAGGAUUUUGAAGAUAUAAAAAGAACCCUUUGCCUACCUGCCUCCAGCAUGCUGUGACGAUCCUGCCCCAGUAUUGGACACCUGAGGAGGCGUUCCCUCUGCUAUUCCUCCAACUGGCUCUUGUCCUGCUCUUGUCCCACCUUUUCUUUGAAGUCUCCUGCCACUCUAUCCCACUGUCACCUUGCCCUUCUUCACCUCCUGUAUCUUCCUGUCUAUGUUACUACCUAGGCAGAGCUCUCUAGCUUCUGAAGGUUCAUAGAUCAUAGACUCCCAGGGCCAAGAGGGCCCUGGACAUCCUAUGUGUUUCAAAGGUCUUCCAAGUUCAGAGGAAGAAGUUGAGUUCCCUACGUGAUACUUCAGGGCCAUAGGUGGUAGAGCUGGGAAACGGUUCAGGGUGUGACUCCAAACGAGAAUUGCAUGAGACGCUUAGGCUUCUACAUCUCCUUCCUCACUCUACACAGCCAGGUGAUUGUCUGCUCUGCCAGGGCACUGGGGCGAAUGUCUUCUCUGUAGAGGCUGACUGAAGAGGCCAGGGAAUUGGGGACUCAGUAUGGCAGAGGGCAGAGCAGAAGCACUGUAUUUGAAGAGCGGUAUUAAGUAAAAGUUCACAAGCCGAGCAGGCUCCCCUCCUUAUAGUUCACCAUCAUCAGGAAUACCUAAGACAAGAAACACAGUCACUUCUAUCUGGAGAAACUGACAAGUCUAAAAGAAAAUACUGACAGAAAGGACUCAUCAACAAAAUUGCUGGGUCCCCACCUAAUCAUCCUAUAGCAAGGCAAGACCUGACAAUCAACAAACCCUGCUCACAUGCACUGAACUAUCAAUCGGCCUUUUGGUUUCUCACUUUCACAUGAGUGAACAGUCAUGGAUCACCAGAGACCACAACAAACAAAAAACACAGGAAAAAAAGGAAAGUCCUAAAGUCCAGAGAGAAGCACAAAAAAGAAAAAUUGGAUACAUAUAAAGGAGUGAGAGGCCGAGUAACAUAAGACUUUUCAAUAGCAACUUGAGGAAUUAAAAGACCAUGGAACAAUACCUUUGAUAUACUGAGGAGAGUAGUUUGAAUUUAGAUUUUUCUUACACAGACAAACCAUCCAUAAAGUCUUACAGUAGACAAAUUCGGACAUGCAAAAUGCUUAUAUCCUGUGCAUUCGUUCUCAGAAAGAUACUGGAGAAUGUGAGCCUCAAAAAUGAUUAAACCAAGAAAGAGGAAGAUUGAGAUCUGGGAAAUAUGGGAUUCAACACAGGAGAGGACAUUCAGAAUAAUGCUGGGGAAGGGAAGUUCCAGAACAGCUGUGUAGCAGGCCUCAAGAAGAAACAAUACAGUCUGCAGUAGGAGAGGUACAGGGCUCCAUGGGGAAGGAAAACAAAAUAAUAGAUGGAUCAUCAGAUACAUAUGAAUAUGUGGAAAACUGUAUCAAGAGGCUGUUAGAGAAUAGGGGAAGAAGUAAUCUUAGAAACAAAGAAGCUAAACAUGAAAAUACAAGAGGACAAAGGACUGCACUGAAGCAUCUAGUCAUGAAAAAAAAUGAGCUGAUAGGUUCCUGAUGUGUUUGACUGUAUUGAGAGGAGUGUCAUGUGAGAAUUUGGGGAAUGAAAUUGAGAUGAAGAAAGAUAAGCAAUUAUUAAAUCCUGGAAAAACAGAAAGUUGUAUAAGAAAGGAAAUGUAAUCAUUGCACACCAUAUGACUCAGCUGCAAAUAAUAUUCUAUAUUAAAAAUAAUGUAAAGAAUAAUAUAAAUUUAAACAAAAAUGGAAAUAUAACUAUAUUGGGAAGAUUAGUGCAGGAAAAUUGAGUGUGUGUGUUUCAGUUAUUACACUGUUUCUCAGCCAUAAGCUCACCUUUUUACACUCUGCUCUGUGAUGCUGGGGCUGGAACGCUGCAAACCACAUUUCUUCUUUGCUGGCUGUCUUCAUGUUAGGCUCUGUCAGUAUGGAAAUUAGAGGGAUGCUGCAGAGUUGGAGGAGGAAAGAACUUACAUCUUCCUGUCUGCUUACUUCUCUCUCAAUGUUCAUUCAUUCAUUUAUUCAACAAAUAUUUAUUUAAAGACUGUUGUCUGGCCCAGCACUAUUCUAGGUGUUUACCUUCCAGUAGGGAAAGAGAAAUAAUAAACAAUAUACAUAAUAAAUAGAUAAAUAAAGUAUAUGGCAUUAUGUGGAAAAAAAGAACAAAGAAUUAGAGUAAGGGACAUUGGGAGUGCAUGGG